rnacentral:tRNA from 1 species
GGGCCGUAGUCUAGCCAGGGAUGACACUGAGCCCGGCACUCGGCGGAUGUCGUGGGUUCAAAUCCCACCGGCCC